rnacentral:rRNA from 3 species
CAUUCACGGAGAGUUUGAUCCUGGCUCAGGACGAACGCUGGCGGCGUGCUUAACACAUGCAAGUCGAACGAUGAAGCCCUUCGGGGUGGAUUAGUG